rnacentral:rRNA from 1 species
UACAGAGGGUGCGAGCGUUAAUCGGAAUUACUGGGCGUAAAGCGCGCGUAGGCGGCUUUGCAAGUCGGGUGUGAAAUCCCCAGGCUUAACCUGGGAACUGCAUUCGAGACUGCAUUGCUAGAGUAUGGGAGAGGGAAGUGGAAUUUCCGGUGUAGCGGUGAAAUGCGUAGAUAUCGGAAGGAACAUCAGUGGCGAAGGCGGCUCACUGGACCGACACUGACGCUGAGGCGCGAAAGCGUGGGGAGCAAACAGG